rnacentral:rRNA from 1 species
AGUGAACGCUGGCGGUAGGCCUAACACAUGCAAGUCGAACGGCAGCACAGGAGAGCUUGCUCUCUGGGUGGCGAGUGGCGGACGGGUGAGGAAUACAUCGGAAUCUACUUUUUCGUGGGGGAUAACGUAGGGAAACUUACGCUAAUACCGCAUACGACCUACGGGUGAAAGCAGGGGAUCUUCGGACCUUGCGCGAUUGAAUGAGCCGAUGUCGGAUUAGCUAGUUGGCGGGGUAAAGGCCCACCAAGGCGACGAUCCGUAGCUGGUCUGAGAGGAUGAUCAGCCACACUGGAACUGAGACACGGUCCAGACUCCUACGGGAGGCAGCAGUGGGGAAUAUUGGACAAUGGGCGCAAGCCUGAUCCAGCCAUGCCGCGUGGGUGAAGAAGGCCCUCGGGUUGUAAAGCCCUUUUGUUGGGAAAGAAAUCCAUCUGGUUAAUACCCGGGUGGGAUGACGGUACCCAAAGAAUAAGCACCGGCUAACUUCGUGCCAGCAGCCGCGGUAA